CCUACGGGAGGCAGCAGUGGGGAAUAUUGCGCAAUGGGCGAAAGCCUGACGCAGCGACGCCGCGUGAGGGAUGAAGGUCUUCGGAUCGUAAACCUCUGUCAGCAGGGAAGAACGGUCACUGUGCUAAUCAGCAGUGAAUUGACGGUACCUGCAAAGGAAGCACCGGCUAACUCCGUGCCAGCAGCCGCGGUAAUACGGAGGGUGCGAGCGUUAAUCGGAAUUACUGGGCGUAAAGCGCUCGUAGGCGGUAUGUCAAGUCAAGGGUGAAAUCCCCGCGCUCAACGUGGGAACGGCCUUUGAAACUGGCAAAGGAGAGGGUGGGAGAGGAUAGUGGAAUUCCAGGUGUAGGAGUGAAAUGCGGAGAUAUGCGGAGGAACAUCAGUGGCGAAGGCGACUAUCUGGCACAUAACUGACGCUGAGGAGCGAAAGCGUGGGUAGCAAACAGGAUUAGAUACCCCUGUAGUC
rnacentral:rRNA from 1 species